CCUUCCAUGAAGCUGGAAUUGCUAGUAAUGGCAGGUCAGCAUACUGCCGUGAAUACGUUCCCGGGCCUUGUACACACCGCCCGUCACACCAUGAGAGUUGGAAAUACCCGAAGCCUGUGAGCUAACUUAAAGAGGCAGCAGUCGAAGGUAGAGCCAAUGAUUGGGGUGAAGUCGUAACAAGGUACC
rnacentral:rRNA from 1 species